AAGAGCCAAAUGAGCUGAGAGGUUCACGUUUGGUUCCGUGAGAGCCUGAGGGUGAGAUUUCCUUGGGCUAUUCGAC
rnacentral:ncRNA from 1 species